rnacentral:rRNA from 1 species
UUGCUUCUCCGCCGGCGACCGGCGCACGGGUGAGUAACACGUAUGCAACCUGCCCCUGUCAGGGGGACAACCCGCCGAAAGGCGGGCUAAACCCGCGUACAUGCCACCGGGGCAUCCCGGAGGCAGGAAAGGCUUCGGCCGGACAGGGAUGGGCAUGCGGCGCAUUAGGCAGUAGGCGGGGUAACGGCCCACCUAACCGACGAUGCGUAGGGGUUCUGAGAGGAAGGUCCCCCACACUGGUACUGAGACACGGACCAGACUCCUACGGGAGGCAGCAG